UACGUAGGUGGCAAGCGUUGUCCGGAAUUAUUGGGCGUAAAGCGCGCGCAGGCGGUCCUUUAAGUCUGAUGUGAAAGCCCACGGCUCAACCGUGGAGGGUCAUUGGAAACUGGGGGACUUGAGUGCAGAAGAGGAGAGUGGAAUUCCACGUGUAGCGGUGAAAUGCGUAGAUAUUGGGAGGAACACCGGUGGCGAAGGCGGCCCCCUGGACCGGUACUGACGCUGAGGCGCGAAAGCGUGGGUAGCAAACGGG
rnacentral:rRNA from 1 species